rnacentral:tRNA from 1 species
GGCAGGGUUGCCCAGUGGUGGAGCACUUGCCUGGCACGCAAGAGGCUCUGGGUUCCGUCCUCGGCACUGCAG